UACGUAGGGGGGCAAGCGUUGUCCGGAAUCAUUGGGCGUAAAGCGCGUGUAGGCGGCCCGGUAAGUCCGCUGUGAAAGUCGGGGGGCUCAACCCUCGAAUGCCGGUGGAUACUGUCGGGCUAGAGUGCGGAAGAGGCGAGUGGAAUUCCUGGUGUAGCGGUGAAAUGCGCAGAUAUCAGGAGGAACACCAAUUGCGAAGGCAGCUCGCUGGGACGGUACUGACGCUGAGACGCGAAAGCGUGGGGGAGCAAACAGG
rnacentral:rRNA from 1 species